GGGGAAUAUUGGACAAUGGGCGCAAGCCUGAUCCAGCAAUGCCGCGUGGGUGAAGAAGGUCUUCGGAUUGUAAAGCCCUUUCGGCGGGGACGAUGGAUGACGGUACCCGCAGAAGAAGCCCCGGCUAACUUCGUGCCAGCAGCCGCGGUAAUACGAAGGGGGCUAGCGUUGCUCGGAAUCACUGGGCGUAAAGGGCGCGUAGGCGGCUCUGUUAGUCAGGCGUGAAAUUCCUGGGGCUCAACCUGGGGGACUGCGCUUGAUACGGCGGGGCUUGAGGAUGGAAGAGGCUCGUGGAAUUCCCAGUGUAGAGGUGAAAUUCGUAGAUAUUGGGAAGAACACCGGUGGCGAAGGCGGCGAGCUGGUCCAUUACUGACGCUGAGGCGCGACAGCGUGGGGAGCAAACAGGAUUAGAUA
rnacentral:rRNA from 1 species